rnacentral:lncRNA from 1 species
GUAAGCCUUGGACUGAUCCACAUAUUUGAUUGUAUCUUUUAUUUUAUCUCUUCUUUCUUUCUGCUAUAAUAAGUGGUACCAUAUUGCUAACAAUUGAUAUCAGAGCUAGGUGGUACCAGAGUGUCAGAUUGUCUAAGUUGCAGCAGUGUUGAUCGGGAUUGAAGAAGAUGGAGAAGUCAGGCAUAAUCAAGAUGGAGAUCAACCGCAAAAGAUUGAUCGAUGCUCUCUUAUGCAAGGAGAAGCCAUCUAUCAUGAAAGAUGUUAGUGGGAGCCCAGUGCGAGGUGGAGCUCCAGAUGGAG